ACACUCACCGCAGCAGUCACAGCCAAACUCUUUGUUAAAUUGAUCGCAGAUCCCACUCCAUGUCAAACCGAUGGUGUUUCGGUGCGUUGAGCGCCGGAUCGGUGCCAACUACAUCUCCUCUGCGCGUUGAUGAGGGCGGUUUUUCUCGCCGCCAUCCAACGAGGGAGCCUGUUGCAGUCGCUGCUUCUUUUUUUCGCUCAACUUCCGCCGCUGGUGGAGUUACUAGCGGCGUUGUCCUGGACGGUUGCGUUGGCUGUCGUGAUAGCUUGAGUCUGUCGGAGUUUUCGCUUUUCGAGUUCUUUUUUCUUUUAGGCUCCUGGCGGCUGGAUCGUUUCGUUGUUGACGGCUAUGCCGUGGUUUGGUGGUUUUAUUAGUAACUGUUUCAUUGGUUGUGUUUUUUUUUUUUUUUUCUCGAGAGAGAGAGGUGAGAAUUGCUAGGGGAGAUGGGCUGCGGUGGUGGUCCGUGGGUUUUAGUGCUUUAAGUGUGGGAUCGGUGCCAACUCCAUCUCCUCUGCGUGUUUAUGAGGGCAGUUUUUCUCGUCGCCAUCCAACGAGGGAUCCAGUCUUUUUGCCUUCCGUUGCUUUCCCUUUUGUUUUCGCGCGACUUUCGCCGUUGGUGGAGUUACUAGCGGCGUGGACCUGGACGGUUGCGUUGGCUUCUGUGAUCGCUUGAGUCUGUCGGAGUUAUCGCAUUUCGUGUUCUUUUUUUUCCCGAUCCUGGCAGCUGGAUCGUUUCAUUGUUAACGGCGAUGCCGUGGUUUGGUGGCUAUGUUGGUAACUGGUUCAAUGGCUAUGUUGGUGUUGGGCGUGCCAUGGCGGAAUUGCGCUGGGCAGUUGGGUUUUUUCUUUUUUAGGGGGAGAUGAGAAUUGCAAGGGGAGAUGGGUUGCGGUGGCGGUCCGUGGGUUCUGGCUUUGUUGAGUACAGAGGCAUUAAUCUUCUAUUACAAAGAAAAAAAAUAGCAACCGCGACCUGGAGGAAGGGAGAGACAGAAGGAGAUUAAAAUUAUCGACCUUGACUGUCUAUGGAAAGGAGCAGGACAUGGGAAUCGAAGCAUUGGAAGCCAUGCUUAUGGAUAUGAUGAAUUUAGAGGUUAGGUUGGCUGGCUGUUCUAUCAUCAUGGUGCUGUGUUUUUUUCUCUUCCCCGGAGUUUGGUCACGGUCUUAUGCUAUGCUCCUUUAGCUGUGCUGUUUUGGAUUCUUAACUCGAUCAGUUUUAUUUCCAGUGGGAAAAGGAGGUGAACAGGGAGCUGUGAGUUCUACCAAGAUCUAUAUAUGGUUUGCUGUGUGAGGAGUGAUCAGAGUGAAUUUUGGGCUUUUGAGUGAGAAUUCUAUGUUUUUUUUUGUUGAAUUUAGGAUUUUCAAGAGCCAAGAGUUUACUUGACUGGGAUCGCAGACUUGCUGAUUAUGGCAUGGACUAUUCUGGACAGAAAUAGGAGACCAUGCCUUCAGGCAAUUCUGAGCUCUUUUUUUCUCCAACAGAAAAGAUAGCAAACAAGAUCUGUGGCUGCUGUUGCACCGGGGCAUCCAUUCCUUUUCUUUCUGAGAUUCAUGUUGACAGAUUGUACAAUCAAACACAAAAUGCUUUAUUCAGUUUCUCGAUCACAGCCAAGAUUAAAUUCUGCUUUGUGUCCGGUCCCUUGAUCUGUCCACUAUGUUCGAAUACUUUGGUUUAUGUUUUCUGUUUUUAAGCAAUCCAUUUGCCACUUUGAUUUCCACAAGUCCAUGGUGGGUUACAAAACUAUCAACGAAUAACAUUACCUAUCUUUUGCAGGGAAACUGAAGCUGUUGGAGGACUGCAACUGCCACCCCAAAUCGAGAUUGUGGAUGCAGCCGUGGUCUUCAACAACUUUUUGACAGCUACUGUUAUGGAGAUGGACCAAACCACUUAAUUUUUGUGACAAGGAUCAAGGAGGUUUACUUUGGAUCCAGGCAACCUUUUGGUUUUUCUGUGUAGGAGACAUGUAAUUGCUUUAAAGGAUUUGAAGCAGCUCAUAAAACUGAUUUGUUGUUUCGCUUUUCGAUUUUGAUGCGAAGAGCUGUAUUUGGUAGUUCAAGACAUGAUUGAAAUGCAUGUCAGGUCAGGUCAGGUCGAUCUCCUAAAACAAUCACCGGUCAAUGCAUGGCUAUCAACAAUGCUGUUGGCGCCGCGCCCCCCUUAUCCAGUCCCGUUGUGCCAGCAUGUUCUAACCUUAUGAAAAAGAUAGGUUUUUUUUUUCGGUUC